rnacentral:tRNA from 1 species
UGUAAUUUAGUGGUUAUGCACUUAAAUUUUUGAAAUUUAAAGGUUAGUUAAUUCUUUAGUUACAA